CCCUCUGGUUGAUACCCACUCAAAAAGGACACUUCUGAUUAAGACGGUUGAAACUAGAGAUGGAC
rnacentral:precursor_RNA from 1 species